GAAAUGCGAUAAUUAAUGUGAAUUGCAGAAUUCAGUGAAUCAUCGAGUCUUUGAACGCACAUUGCGCCCCCUGGUAUUCCGGGGGGCAUGCCUGUCCGAGCGUCAUUGCUGCCCUCAAGCACGGCUUGUGUGUUGGGCUUCCGUCCCUGGCAACGGGGACGGGCCCAAAAGGCAGUGGCGGCACCAUGUUUGGUCCUCGAGCGUAUGGGGCUUUGUCACCCGCUCCCGUAGGUCCAGCUGGCAGCUAGCCUCGCAACCAAUCUUUUUAACCAGGUUGACCUCGGAUCAGGUAGGGAUACCCGCUGAACUUAAGC
rnacentral:misc_RNA from 1 species